ACGGCGAGUGAAGCGGCAACAGCUCAAAUUUGAAAUCUGGCUUCGGCCCGAGUUGUAAUUUGUAGAGGUGGCUUUUGGUGCGGCACCUACUGAGUCCCCUGGAACGGGGCGCCAUAGAGGGUGAGAGCCCCGUAUAGUAGGAUGCCUAGCCUGUGUAAAGCCCCUUCGACGAGUCGAGUAGUUUGGGAAUGCUGCUCUAAAUGGGAGGUAAAUUUCUUCUAAAGCUAAAUAUUGGCCAGAGACCGAUAGCGCACAAGUAGAGUGAUCGAAAGAUGAAAAGCACUUUGAAAAGAGGGUUAAACAGCACGUGAAAUUGUUGAAAGGGAAGCGCUUGUGACCAGACUUGCGCCGGGCGGAUCAUCCGGUGUUCUCACCGGUGCACUCCGCCCGGCUCAGGCCAGCAUCGGUUCUCGUGGGGGGAUAAAGGCUCUGGGAACGUGGCUCCUCCGGGAGUGUUAUAGCCCAGGGUGCAAUGCCCUCGUGGGGACCGAGGUUCGCGCAUCUGCAAG
rnacentral:rRNA from 1 species